AAUGAACGCUGGCGGCGUGCGUAACACAUGCAAGUCGAACGAGAAAUUCCGGGCUUGCUCGGGAGAGUAAAGUGGCGAACGGGUGAGUAACGCGUGGGUAACCUGCCCCUGAAUCUGGAAUAACUUCGCGAAAGCGAGGCUAAUACCGGAUAUUGUCCCAGGGACUGUGGUCCUUGUGAUGAAAGAUGACCUCUUCACGAAAGUUGUCGUUCAGGGAGGGGCCCGCGUACCAUUAGCUAGUUGGUAGGGUAACGGCCUACCAAGGCGAUGAUGGUUAGCUGGUCUGAGAGGAUGACCAGCCACACUGGCACUGAAACACGGGCCAGACUCCUACGGGAGGCAGCAGUGAGGAAUUUUGCGCAAUAGGGGAAACCCUGACGCAGCAACGCCGCGUGAGUGAAGAAGGCCUUCGGGUCGUAAAGCUCUGUCAAGUGGGAAAAAAGCUUCCUGGUGAAUAGCCAGGAAGACUGAUGGUACCAUUGAAGGAAGCACCGGCUAACUCCGUGCCAGCCGCCGCCGUAAAAC
rnacentral:rRNA from 1 species